CCCAGGACCCUGAGAUCAUGAUCUGAGCCGAAGGUAGAGGCUUUAGCCCACUGAGCCACCCAGGCGCCCUGAUAUUUGGGACUUUUAAUGGGCUUAAUUGCUGUCCUGAUCCCUUUUAUUAACCUAGGAUUCUAUGUCUUCCAACUCACUUUGCAUUACCUGAGGAUGUAUUAGGGACUGUUUAAAUGCUCAGUUGGAGCUGCGGUCCCUUUUGUAUGUCUAGUUUUCCCAUGCCUUCCUCCUCUUUUGCAUUAUAGCAGUGGGUACUUGGGGCUGUUAAAGUACUUAAUUGCUGGCGUAGUCACUUUUGUUGGUUUAGGAUCCCAUCCCCUUCUACUCCCUUUACACUACGUGGGGGGAUUUUUGAGACCAUUAAAGUGCUCACUUGCACCUGUGGUGCCCUCUGUUGGUCUAGGAUCCGAUGUCAUCUAACUCCCUUUGCUGCAUUACAGCAGAUGGUACUUGGGACUGUUAAUGUGCUUAAAUACAGGUGUGGUCCAUUUUGCUAGUCAUGAUCACCUCCUCCCUUUAUAUUACCUGGGAGCAAAUUUGGUACUGAAAGGUGCUUAAUGCAGCUGCGUUCCCUUCUCUUAGUUUAGGAUCCUACACCCCCAACUCUUGCGUUAUAGCAGAGAGUACUUGGGCCUGUCAGAUUCUCACAGCUGUUAUACCUUCUGUUUUGUAGGAUCCCAUGCACACCAACUCCCUUUACAUUAUCUGGGAGUGUAUUUGGGAAGGAUAAAGUGCUUAACUUUAGCAGUGGUUCCCUUUGUUGGUAUAUUUUUCCACGCCCUCCAGAGGGUACUUAGGACUGUAGCUGUGCUUAAAUGCAGUUGUGGUCCCUUUUGUUAGUGUAGGAUCCCAUGCCCUCUUCUUUUACAUCACCUCAGAAGUGCUUGGGACAAUUAAGAUGUAUCCCAUUCACUCCUACCUUUUUAGCAUUACAGUACGGGUUUGCUGAAAACCAAGCCCCCCCCCCCCCCCCCGUAUUGUUAAUGGGCAUAAUUGUAUUUGUUCCUUUUCCUCUGCACUAGAUUUCUCUAAUUUCAUUUGUAUUCAGCAGUGGAUGCACUUUAAUACCUUUGUACUAGGAUAAAGUGAACCAUGGUAAUUGAUAUACUGUGUCUUUCAUUUAAGUCCCCCGUACGCUCUUUGAAUUAAUUACCUCAGUUACUUUUUUCUGGAACUAUUGGUGUGCAAAAUUCCAGUGUUUUUUUUUUUUACAUCAAUUUUUUUUUACAUCAGGGGAUGCUAGUAUCCCCAAAUUCUUUCCUUGGGACUCUUAAUGUACAUACGCCCUCUUGAUAAGCUAAUACCCUUACUUCUUCGUAUUCUAAUGGGGGGUACUGACCACCUACAGUCUUUCUGUUGGACAGUUAAUGUGCCGUGUUGCACUGGGGUCCCAUCCCUAUCACACCUUCUCUGUGUCAGGGGUGCUGACCAACUAUGACUGCUUCUCCUGUGCAGUUUAAAUGUGCAUAAUUACAGCAAUCCUUGCUCCCUUAUGUUAGAAUAAGAUCUCAUUUCCUUGCCCCAUUUACAUUAUUGCAGGGGCUUCUGACUAGCCAAGAUUCACUCUCUUAGACUGUGUGCAUACUUAACAUUUGCUCUUAUACCUGUGCACCAGGUUAGGAUCCUCCCCAUACUGUUUAUAUUCCAGUGGGAGGUGCCUACUACUCAAGAUUUUACACACUAACGCAGUUAAUCUGCACAACCUUCAUUGUUUUGUACCCACUCAGUUGUCCACAACUGUACCUUUAAGUUCAGGACUUUGCAUUUACCAAAGUGGAGGUGACUGACCACAUUCAAGCCUUUCUCUUGGAACUGUGGCUGUGUGUAGUUUCAGUUGUCCACUCUCCUUUGAGUUAACUUGUCCCUGACUCUUCUCAGAACCUUUGAGGUACUGCAUGGGAUACUGUCAAUUUAAGGCCUCUUCCUCAAACUGUUAAUGAGUGUAAUGACAAUUAAAUUAGGAUUCUUCGCCUUUACACUGCCUUUGAAGUACUGCAGGGAAUUCUGACCCAUAAGGUCCCAUUUCUUGGCCUGUUAAGAUGCAUGAUUGUAUUUGUCUGCGUUCCUGUGUACUAGAGAAGAACACCUCUCCCCACUCCUGUCUGUUAUCUGUUAUGCAGGGAGUGCCCCCUCUAAGGCUGUUAUAUUUGAGCAGUCAAGGAGCACAGUUAUCAUUGACCACAACUACGCACCAUGGAUAUUAAUGUGCAUAACUACACAUGCUUCAUCCCAUUUGAAUAAGGUACUACCCUCUCAGACCCCUUUUGUAGUACAGCGGGGGUACUGAUCACUAAGGCCUUUUUUCAUGGCUUGUGAUUAUGCAUAAUUUCAUUUGUACAUGUUUUUGUACACUAAAUAAGGGCACCUCUCUCCCCACUCUCUUUACCUUUUAGCAGGGAGUUCCCAUUACUUAAUCCUUAUAUUUGUACAAAGUACAUGGUUUUAAUUAACCAUACCAUAUCCCUUGGGCAUUAGUGUACAGGACUGCAGCUUAGUUCAUCCUACCCUGUUGUAUGUCAUUGAGUAUACCAGGGUUGCUGACCCCAACUUGUCCUAUUAAUGUGCAUAAUUACAUUUGUCCAGGUUCUUAUGCACUAGAUGAGGAGACCCCCUCACCCCCUACUUCUAAGCCUUCCAGUAGGUGGUGGUGCCCAUUGCUAAGACAUUUACAUCUGAAUAGUUAAUAUGCAGAAUUGUAGUUUUCCACAACUCUGUUACUUCCAGAACUAUCGUACCUCCUUUGCAGUGCUGCAGGAGAUACUGUUUUCUCCCAAAGUUCUUUCUAGUAAACUGCUAACAUUCAUUCCUCAAUUGAUUGUCUGUUGUCUUCAGUAGACUAAGGCCCUACACUCUCACCUUCCCUUUGCAAUACAGCAGAGUGUGCUGAUGAACUAAGGUCCUCUUUUGGACUGUGAAUAUGUACAGUAGAAAUUUUCCCCUGUUUUAUGUACUCUAUAAGGACCCUACCUACUUUCUUAGCAUGUUUAGCAGGUAGUGUCCACUAUUUAAACUCUUUCACUUGGAAAGUUCAUGUGUAUAAGUGCAGCUUGCUAAGCACGUCUUAUACUAGAACCCCUGUACCCUCUUUGCUUUGGAGUAAGGAGAUGCAGUUUACCUCUAAUGCCCUUCUUUUGGACUUUAAUGUGUAUGAUUGCAAUUGUCCAUCUUUUCGUCCCCUCAAACCUCCUUUGCUUCAGCGGCAUGUUAACCAUAAAUUGCAUCCCAUCAAAUCCCCUUUGCAUCAGGGGCAUGUUAACCAUAAAUGAGCUCUUCUCGAGAUUAUUAAUAUACAUACUUGUAUUUGUUUGUUGAUCUGUGCAGUGUGAAAGGAUGACCUCAGCUCUUGGACCAUUAAUAUGCACCACUAUCAAUUAUGGGACCUAUUGUACUCCCUUUGUAUUCAUUAGGGGUACUGACUAAGGUCUCUUUCUUGGACUGUCAAUGGGCAAUUAUCUAUGUUCCCUUCUGUUAGGUUUAGGAUAACAUUCCCUUAAAACCCCCUUGCAUUACUAUAGGGGUUGCUGAACACACAAAACUUCUGGGACUGUUAAUGGGCACAAUGGCAAUUAGCAAUGAAUUUUUCCUCCCUGGCCUUGUUAGAUAAACACUCCCAGCCCCAAUUUUGCAUGACAUAAUUAAGUAUAAACAUUGCAAUAUGCUGUGAACUUGUCUAUCAAAUAGCAACCCAUACUCCCUCUCCUUUUGUAUUGCUCCUAUGUAUAAAAUUCCAAGUACUCAUGGUCUUCCCCUUAUCAUCCCUCUUCCCAUCCCGUGCUCACCCUUGGACCCUUCCUAUGGACCUUUGUCACAGUUUCAGGUGUUCAUGUAUUCAGCCAUUGAAUAAGAUUGUCCCUCCGCUCUGCCCCCAUCCCUUGCCCCUUUUGCUUUAUUGCUGGGGAAUGUUGACUGAGCAAGGCCCUUUCUCUUGGACUUAAUACAUUAGUAAUCCCUGAUGUCAUUGCUUUACCCACUUUAUAUUAUUGUAAUGCCUCAGUUGCACUUUCCUUGGUCCCACCCAUCAGACACGGACCCCUCCACUUCUUUGCAUUGCAUUGCUGACUACCCAAAGUCCCUUCUAUGUUAACGCAGUACUGAUUGUCCCAUUUUUUUUAGCUCAUCAGCCCAAGAUUUUCCUAUCACUUUGAUGUCAUAUGCAGUAUUGACUACCAAAAGCAGACCUGAAUUAGGUGGAUGGACCUUCACUCUUUUUUCUGCACUUGCUAAUGAUGCAAUCCCAGUUGUCACAUUCUGGGACAGGAACCGUCCCUGCCCACCUCUGUUACUGCUUUACUAAGCAAAAUGCUCAAGGCGAGUCAGGACUAGAAAGCUGGAUUGCCACCCCUUAUUACUGAUUUUCAGUAUAAGUAUCAGUGGAAAAUUGUCUCCCCAGGAAGAAAGAUUAGCACCAUCUGUGCAUUCCUUCCUUCCAGAGCAGAUUGCCUGGCCAAGAAUCUCUCUUCCCCUCUUGUAUAUUGCUAUUGUACAGUGCUGGUUGCCAGGAUACAAUUAAAAAAAUGCUGUUUGCAAGAUGGAAUUGUAAACCUGGUCAUUUAAUUUUUGAAGUCCAAAAACCCAUUUAUACCAUGUACUUGAUGACCAGUGUCUCUCAUUUUACUAUGGGUGGUGGGUCUGUGGAUAGACCACUAUGAAUCUUGCUAUUUUAAGUAUUCCCAAGAGUUCUAGAGUGGAACUCUUAAGACACAUAUCUUUGGGCUCUGCCACCAUUUAAAAACCAUUCUUUAUUUGGGCUUCAUCACCAUUCACUUUUAGAGAAACUACCUAAACUUUCUAGUCCUUAAAUUUCUUCAUCUGGAUCAUCAACCACCCCUCUACUUAUUUCAAGAAGAUUGCUUUCAAAGAAUGAACUGAGAGAACAUAUGCUGAGGCAUUUUUGAAAACCAUAGUUCACCUUACUUGAUUAACCUAUUACAUAUAUAAAAUGCACCCUGUUGAAUUCUGCUAAUCUAAAGUAGCCUGAAGCACUACACUGAAGUGAGGACUUAGGAAUGAUAGUAUCAAUUGCCCUGUUUUGUAUUAAAGGAGAAAUAAGCUAAGUUCUAAUCAUUCUUCUGGACAUAAAUUUCAACAGUGAGAUAGCUUCCUGGUAAAAUGAAUAAUAUCCUAGCUUCUAGUGUGCAGGGUGUGGCAGAGAAGUCUCUAAUGUGGAACUGCUGAAGCAAGUAACUAGUUAUCACAACGGCAGUUCUUUGUAAUCACUGAAAAAGGAUACUAUUCCUCUGACAAGGAUGUCAAAAGAUCCGCCCAGCUCAGGGUGCAGUAUGCACUACUAGCUCCUUGGACAACUGUAAGAAGAGUCUCUGGCUCUUUAGAAUACUGGAUGAAUUCUGAGCUGGUUCUGUACCCCACUCAAGAGGAAGGAUGGAUCAACUUUAAGUGGAUUGAAGCCUGCACUAGAUGGCAUCCAAAGAUCUUCUUCAGAAGAAUAGGCUUGUUGCUCUACAGUGUUAGUGACCUGUUCCCUUUGACGAUCCCUAGGUGGAGAUGGGGCAUGAGGAUCCUCCAGGGGAAAAGCUCACUACCACUGGGCAACAACCCUAGGCCAGGAGGUUUUAUCAAGAUUCUUCCCUGGUCCCAGGGAGGAAGAUGAACUCUCAAAGCCACCACCACCCUUCAGAGGAGAACAUGGGCAACUGCCACAUUUGUGACAUUGAUCAUGGGGAGAUCAUCAUUUUGGACCCUCUGGUCCCCAGAGUAUUUCUUGAAGCCUUGCUGGGGAAUUUUGACAAUCAUUUACAUAUGUCAAGAUGGCUUAGGAUGUCUUUGGGCUAAAACACAAAACAAGCUGUUUGAGAAGAUAAAUAGGAGUUGUAUGCUUGUUGAUUAAUGGAACCUGACCAGAAAUGGCACAAAGUUUCUGUUGUCAGGUCCUGAUUGUUCCUUCUUUUCUGCCAAAUCACUGUCUUCCCAAAACAGUGCAAAGUGCAAGAAAGUGAAACAUACCGAAGGAAGAUCAACAUGCCUGGCACACUAGCAUUUUAGAACAGCAGAAUGAAUGUGUAUUUCUUUGCUUGUCUAUUUCUUUCUUGAAUCUCUUUGGUUGUCUUUAAAAUGUGUCUUAGCCAUCCCAUGAUUCUCUUGCUAGUUUCUUCUCUGUGUAUCUUUGUCUCAUUCUGGUUUUUGUUCCUAAGAGUGGUCUGUGUCUUGUCUUAGAUGUCUCUCUCUAGUUUUGUUUCGUUUUGUUUUUUCAAUUUGUUACUGAUUCUCUUUGCUCUCGUAGAUCUGGCUCUUCUUUCUAUGUUCUUCCGUUUUGGUCUGUGUUGCAUGCUUGUGUGCUUUUUGUUCAUAACUUGUCCUGCCUAUACCUCCCUUCUUUUACUGUUGUGAACUCUGAUUGUUGGUCUUCCCUUCCCCUUGUUGUUGGUUUGACAUUUCACCUUUUUCUCAUUCUGGCUUUCCUCCUGCUUUUUCUACUAUUACCUCACAUUUCUCUUUUCUGUAUAUUUUUUCUGUCUCUGUUGGGCCAUUUUCUCUUUCUUUCCUGCUGUCUAAAUGUCUCUUUGUUCUUUGUGAUUUUCCA